rnacentral:rRNA from 1 species
AGAGUUUGAUCCUGGCUCAGAACGAACGCUGGCGGCAGGCCUAAUACAUGCAAGUCGAACGCUCCAGCAAUGGAGAGUGGCAGACGGGUGAGUAACGCGUGGGAACCUUCCCAGUGGUACGGAAUAGCUCAGGGAAACUUGAGGUAAUACCGUAUACGCCCUUCGGGGGAAAGAUUUAUCGCCAUUGGAUGGGCCCGCGUCGGAUUAGCUAGUUGGUGGGGUAAUGGCCCACCAAGGCGACGAUCCGUAGCUGGUCUGAGAGGAUGAUCAGCCACACUGGGACUGAGACACGGCCCAGACUCCUACGGGAGGCAGCAGUAGGGAAUAUUGGACAAUGGGCGAAAGCCUGAUCCAGCCAUGCCGCGUGAGUGACGAAGGCCUUCGGGUUGUAAAGCUCUUUUGGCGGGGACGAUAAUGACGGUACCCGCAGAAUAAGCUCCGGCUAACUUCGUGCCAGCAGCCGCGGUAAU